ACCUCGGUGAAAGAGGAUCUCAAUGUAGACCAAGUGUUCAACUAUCUGGUGGACCAGUACUUGGCCAUCAUCAAUCAUUCAGAAGAUGUUUACACCACCAAGAAUGUUGGAGAGAAUAUCUUUGGUAAUCCAGUCAAGUUGAACAAAGGCGAUACAAUAACACUGAGUGGAAAGAAGAAAACUAGCAAGAAACAGCUUAUUAAAAGUGCCUGCAAGGUUAUAUAGAACCAAAAGAAUAGGUAAGAACUUAUGAAAUUAAUAUAUAAAAUGUAUAGUCACCAUUUUAUCUAAACCGUGUAAGGAAAUUGUAUACAAACUUGUGUAGAACUUAGUACAUGAAAUUCAUAAGAGGUCAGUAUUUGUGCAGAAAAAAAAAUACAGUGAACCUUCUCAUUAAUGGACUAAUUAGGGAGGAGGAUGUGUACAAUAUUGCUAAUUGUCUUGUACUUCCAGCUUAAGAAAUUAUUUUUUUGUGAUUGGUUGUCUUCUGAAUUAGCUGACUUGGUCCAUUAAUGCAGAAGACAACCAGACACUAAGAAUACGGGUAUUGUAACCUGUAGUACUCUAGUACACUGUACUGUGUAGUAAUUUUAUAGCACUGUACAUAAUUUACAGUAAUUUUCAUGCUAUCUUAUUUAGACAAAUGAAAUAAACUGAUAGCAGUGACUCGAUAACGUUUAUUCUGAUUCAGAGGAGCUGUAAAGCUCUGCUAGUGAAAAUAAUGUAGAUGGCUGAGAAGUUGCAAGAGGAACAGAUUUAAAGAAUAUAUCUAGCUAAUUUAUAACAGUACACUGAGGGUGUCAGCAAGGAAAAGUGAAAAUGAAUGAGACUGGGUGGGUGGGUAUAAAAGGGUAGCUUCAGUAAGCAUGAGUGGGUGUAGAUAGUGAGCAUAAGAGAGUGAGAGGUAGUUAUGAAAGAGGAGAGUGGUUAAGAGAGCAUGAGUGUAAAGGGUGAGUAUGAGAGAAGAUAGAUGGUUGAGGGGUUGGUAUGUUAUAUACAGUAAGGCCCCGCUUUACGGUAUUUCACCUGACAGCAUUCUGCUAAUACAGACAUUUCAAAUUAUGACCAAAACUUGCUAUACAACUCCCCCCACCUGACUUUCUAAUAUGGUCAGUGCAUGCCACCCAGUUUGUUUAUAUUCUCCAUGAGCUCCAGGUCUCUCCAUUAUAUCAGGAAACUUUCCAAAAUUUCAAGUGUUUUAAAGUUAUUGCAUAUUUUAUAAAUACAUACUCUGAUAAUUAUACUUAUGUAUACCUGUACCUAAAUAAACUUACUGUGCUGGUACACAGGUACAUAUUAAAAUCACUGUGUCCCUCUGGUAUUGAUGCCAUAGUAAUAAUACGUAAUAAUCACUUGGGCACAUUAAAUGUCUUAUUUUACGUUAAUAUAGACAUAUAGGUAGUAGGUUGGUAGACAGCAACCACCUAGGGAGGUACUACCGUCCUGCCAAGUGAAUGUAAAACAAAAGCCUGUAAUUGUUUUACAAGAUGGUAGGAUUGCUGGUGUUUUUUUUGUCUGUCUCAUAAAUAUGCAAGAUUACAGGUAUGUCUUGCUACUUCUACUUACACUUAGGUCACACUACACAUACAUGUACACUUUUAUUUAUACACACUCAUCUGAGUUUUCUUUGAUUUUAUCUUAAUAGUUCUUGGUCUUAUUACUUUUCCUUUUAUAUCCAUGGGGAAGUGGAAUAAGAAUCUUUCCUCCGUAAGCCAUGCGUGUUGUAAAAGUCAACUAAAAUGCCGGGAACAAUGGGCUAGUAACCCCUUUAACUGUAUUAUUAUUAUAAUCAAAAAGAAGCGCUAAGCCACAAGGGCUAUACAGCCCCUUUUCCUGUAAAGAUUACUAAAGAGAAUAAGAAGAAAAUUGUCAAAGUGGGAAGUCUGAAUGUGUGUGGAUGUUGUGCAAAUGAUAAGAAAGAGAUGAUUGUGGAUGUUAUGAAUGAGAAGAAGCUGGAUGUCCUGGCUUUAAGUGAAACAAAGCUGAAGGGGGUGGGAGAGUCAGUGGAGAGGAAUAAGUGGGAUUAGGUCAGGGGUUUCAAAUAGAGUUAGAGCUAAAGAAGGAGUAGCAAUAAUGUUGAAGGAUAAGAUAUAGCAGGAAAAGAGGGACUAUAAAUGUAUUAAUUCAAGGAUUAUGUGGAGUAAAAUAAAGGUUGGAUGUGAAAAGUGGGUUAUAGUAAGCGUGUAUGCACCUGGAGAAGAGAGAAGUGUAGAGGAGAGAAAGAGAUUUUGGGAAAUGUUGAGUGAAUGCGUGAGGAGUUUUGAACCAAGUGUGAGAGUACUAGUGGUUGGGGAUUUCAAUGCUAAAGUGGGUAAAAAUGUUGUGGAGGGAGUAGUAGGUAAAUUUCGAGAGCCAGGGGUAAAUAUAAAUGGGGAGCCUUUAAUUGAGCUAUGUGUAGAAAGAGAUUUAGUAAUAAGUAAUACAUAUUUUAUGAAAAAGAGGAUAAAUAAAUAUACAAGGUAUGAUGUAGCACAUAAUGAAAGUAGUUUGUUAGAUUAUGUAUUGGUGGAUAAAAGGUUAAUGGGUAGGCUCCAGGAUGUACAUGUUUAUAGAGGGGCAACUGAUAUAUUGGAUCAUUAUUUAGUUGUAGCUACAGUUAGAGUAAGAGGUAGAUGGGACAAGAGGAAGGUGGCAACAACAAGUAGGAGGGAAGUGAACGUGUAUAAACUAAGGGAGGAGGAAGUUCGGGUGAGAUAUAAGCGACUAUUGGCAGAAAGGUGGGCUAGUGCAAAGAUGAGUAGUGGGGGGGUUGAAGAGGGUUGGACGAGUUUUAAAAAUAUAGUAUUAGAAUGUGGGGCAGAAGUUUGUGGUUAUAGGAGGGUGGGGGAAGGAGGAAAGAGGAGUGAUUGGUGGAAUGAUGAAGUAAAGGGUGUGAUACAAGAGAAAAAGUUGGCUUAUGAGAGGUUUUUACAGAGCAGAAGUGUUAUAAGGAGAGCAGAUGAUAGAGUGGGGGAGGCACUGUCAAGAAAUUUUAAUGAAAAUAAGAAAAAAUUCUGGAGUUAAACAAGUUAAGAAAGCCUAGGGAAUGUAUGGAUUUGUCAGUUAAAACAGAGUAGGGGAGUUAGUAGAUGGGGAGAGGGAGGUAUUAGGUAGAUGGCGAGAAUAUUUUGAGGAACUUUUAAAUGUUGAGGAAGAAAGGGAGGCGGUAAUUUCAUGCACUGGCCAGGGAGGUAUACCAUCCUUUAGGAGUGAAGAAGAGCAGAAUGUAAGUGUGGGGGAGGUACGUGAGGCAUUACGUAGAAUGAAAGGGGGUAAAGCAGCUGGAACUGAUGGGAUCAUGACAGAAAUGUUAAAAGCAGGUGGGGAUAUAGUGUUGGAGUGGUUGGUACUUUUGUUUAAUAAAUGUAUGAAAGAGGGGAAGGUACCUAGGGAUUGGCAGAGAGCAUGUAUAGUCCCUUUAUAUAAAGGGAAGGGGGACAAAAGAGAUUGUAAAAAUUAUAGAGGAAUAAGUUUAUUGGGGCCCACUUAUACAGCAGGUUAGGUUCCAGGCUACUGCCAGAAAGCAGAAUGCCAUUUUUUCCACUUAUAAAUACAUAAAUGCCAGAUAACAAGUUUACACUACAUAUAUUAACCCUUUCAGGGUCCAAAGGCCAAAUUUCAGUGCGCACCAGGCCCCAAGAAUUUUCAAAACAAAAAUAUUUUUUCUCAUGAAAUGGUAGAGAAUCUUUUUCUGAAGGUAAUAAAACAAAAAAGUACGAAAUUUGAUGGAAAAUUGACGAAAUUAUGCUCUCGCGAAUUUUGAGGUGUCCGAUAUUUACGAAUCUGCGAUUUUGCCGACUUUGACUCCCAUUUUAGACCAAAUUCUUAGCUAUUUCACUAGUAUUACUUCUCUUCUAUCAAUUGAGCACAAGAAAUCACCAAGUCAAAUGUUUCAACUACAAAAUAAAGUGAUUGGUAAUUUGGCCAAUUUAACACAAAGUUCAAAAUAUUCCAAUUUCAAAAUAGGGUCCAGAAUAAACAAUGUAGGUAUUCCUGGCACUAAACUAACAUUUCCUCUGUUCAUUAGUCACGUUUUGAGGCUUUACAAAUGAAUUCCAUUUUGAUUUUUUAUUCACAUAAUGAAUUUUUAUUCAAACCAAAAAAUAGAAGAUUUACUGUUAUGCAAUAUGGUAAUAACUGUAUAAAUAUCAUCACCACAUUUGUGAAUGUAUAUUAGAUCCACCAGCUGGUGUGUAUUAGACGUGUGAGGUCGUUUGCUUACUCUUGAACAUUGGCAAAAAUUUAACAUUUCUGCUAAUUUGAGCUCAGUUUCAAGCCAUUUCUAGUGUUAAAACCAAUCAGAAUCAUCUCUAUUUCUGUAAUAUGUCUUCCAUUGUAUCAAACAAGACCAAGAAAUCGCAAAUACAACUAUAACAUACGAAAAAACACUGCAAAGUCGCUGUUUGAAUAAAAAAUCAUGGUCUCAGUUUUUUCCUCUCAUUAUACACUGUGUGCUGCAGGAUUUAUUUUAUGUGGUGCACACAUACCACAUAGAUGUAUUCUCUCAUAUCUAGGCCCAAAUUUACCUCUCACAGCCUAUCAGAGUGAGCUGACCUCAUGGCGUAGAUCUAUGGUUUGGAUCCUGAAUGUAAAGCCAUAGAUCUACGGGACGGACCCUGAAAGGGUUAAGUUAGCAGUAGAAUUAGGCAUUAAAAACAAUAAAAAGUAUAGUACACACACAGUACACCCAUUACUUAUAUUAAAAUAUUUGUAGUCUUAAUGUAGGACGAGAGGUUAGUUUUAUUUGUAGGAAGUCAGGUUGCCAGCCAAGGCAGCCCACCCCACCCACACCAGGCAAGCAUGUCUGGUGUUCAUUCAUACAUGUUUGUAUUGUACCAUAAUAUACAAACACUUUACAUUGUGUACAAGUUGUCUCCACAUUGAUACAGAAGAAUAAAUAAAGACCAAUGCUUC